CUCUAUGCUAUACUAUACCAUCAUGUGGCUGGUCCCUCAGGGGGAAGAGAUGCCUUUGUAUGGGUCCAUUGAGGCAUCUCUUUCCCCCAUGCCUCACCACGCCCCUAUAGAAUAUAUAUUAUAUCUCUUCUUCAUUUUUUGAUAGACACAUCACUGAUGAUUGUAGGAUUUCAUUAUAGGAUCAUCCAACUCACUGGGCCAGAGUCCAUCAAUGUUGGGUGAGGGACAACUGGGAAGGUGAACAACUGAAGUCUUGCCAGCUACUUUUCUCUUCACCUACUUUACUCUCUUCACACUGCUGAGCAAAGUUGAUGCCUCAACUCUCUUAACACUCCUUGAUGGAGGAGAAAGAGACAAAGAAAGCUGAGCUCUCAGCUUAUGGAUCCCCAGUGAAGACAGAGUCAUGUAGGACUUCUCCCACAAAUGUCAAGCAGGAGUAUUACGUUUCAUUUGAGAGUGGAAAUAAGGAUAUGCAGUGGGAUGCUGUGUAGAACACAUGUUCAUAAAUGCCGGCUGAUGCUGACACUUCUUUCUGGAACUUUUAUGGAAGAGCUUCUUUCUCCACAUGACUUCCAAGUCCAUCACCCGCAGGAUCUCAUUUUCCAGUUAGUGAUAACAACAACCAAGGAUUAUCAUCUUCCAUUUAUAGGAAUCAUGAUCUCCUAAGAUGUAUAUACUAUACCCUGGUUGCCUUGUGCUACAACUAGAGAUUGCUCACUGCUUUUCUAUAGGAGAGUGUCAUGGGACAAUGUCACACAUUCACCACGGGAAGCUUCAAAAAUGCUGUUGAAUAAAAUUUAAUUCUCCCAACUCCAUGCACAGCUUUUAACCAUAUUCAAACUAUUCAGAAUUAGGUCAGAUUCAUCUUCCUAAAGCAGAACGAUCUUCAUGUCAUUUCUCUGCUAGAAUUUUCUUAAUAUUCCCUUACUGUCCAUAUAAUUAUAUCUGAGCCAGGAGGACUAGGAUGGAAAAGUCAACUGGAUUUACUUGGACCCGAUUUUUCCUGUUUUUUUUUUUUUUUUCUGCCUCUGCCUCAAACAUUUCAUCUUUCACUGCCCAUAGGCUUCGUGCACCCUUUGAACAAUUGUUUCAUAGCUUUUCCUACAUGCUGUCAUUAUAAAGUCAUGUUUGCACCAGAA